rnacentral:rRNA from 1 species
AACGCGAAGAACCUUACCAAGGUUUGACAUGCAGGGAAAAGCCGCAGAGAUGCGGUGUCCGUAAGGGUCCUGCACAGGUGGUGCAUGGCUGUCGUCAGCUCGUGUCGUGAGAUGUUGGGUUAAGUCCCGCAACGAGCGCAACCCUCGUCCUAUGUUGCCAGCGGGUAAUGCCGGGGACUCAUAGGAGACUGCCGGGGUCAACUCGGAGGAAGGUGGGGAUGACGUCAAGUCCUCAUGCCCCUUAUGUCUUGGGCUGCAAACAUGCUACAAUGGCCAGUACAAAGGGCUGCGAGACCGUGAGGUGGAGCGAAUCCCAAAAAGCUGGUCUCAGUUCGGAUUGGGGUCUGCAACUCGACCCCAUGAAGUCGGAGUCGCUAGUAAUCGCAGAUCAGCAACGCUGCGGUGAAUACGUUCCCGGGCCUUGUA